CCUGUUUCCGCUGGCAGCUGCCCGAGCCUAGAGCCGCGUCCCGCGGUGCCAUCCCAGCUCCCCCAGGACCCGGCCCAGCUUCCCCCCCGGGACCCGUUGUGGGAUAAACAGAUGUGCUGCUGCCCUGUUAAACCAGCCUUGCAAACUAUUUCCAGUCAACAGUAGCUGUGGUGAAAGAAUUUAAGAAGUGCAACAUGGCAAGAGGCUGCCUGUGUUGUUUGAAAUACAUGAUGUUCCUUUUCAAUUUAAUGUUUUGG